UACGUAGGUGGCGAGCGUUGUCCGGAUUUACUGGGCGUAAAGAGUGCGUAGGCGGUUUUCUAAGUUUGGUGUGAAAUCUCCCGGCUUAACUGGGAGGGUGCGCCGAAGACUGGAAGGCUUGAGUAUGGGAGAGGUAAGCGGAAUUCCUGGUGUAGCGGUGAAAUGCGUAGAUAUCAGGAGGAACACCUGCGGUGUAGACGGCUUACUGGACCAUCACUGACGCUGAGGCACGAAAGCGUGGGUAGCAAACAGG
rnacentral:rRNA from 1 species